GUGCCGGGCGAGUCAGUCCGUGGACCCACGGCCGGGUCGAGGCAGCUCUCCACGCCUGCUGCUUGCCGCGUCCCGGCCGCGCGGGGCCUCCGCUGUGUGCGGGGAUGGACGCCCGUGCAGAGCCCUGCGGGGCAGCGGCCUCCCACCGCGGGCAGACGUGGAGGGGCGGCGGAUCUCCUCCGUGCGGCUGGCUCUCCGGGUUCCCGUGGCCCUUGCCCUGCCAGUCUGUGCUGGUUGGGUGACCUCUGGUCUCAGCCAUGCCCUCGGCUGCUUUCCUGCUUAUGUCCUACUUGGCCUGAGCGACUGCGCCUUGCUCUCUGCAGAAUUUAGAAAGCCGCAGCGGGAGGAGACUGGGGACAGUCACAGUUGUGUGGACGUGAAGCAGCACUCCUCGACUAGAAAUGAGAAGCCUGUGAAUGAAAAGCACUAAAGCUUGUGUGCUGCGGGUGAUGCAGGGCGUACAGGGGAAAGUGUGACCAAAACACUCGUGUUAAAAAGAGAAAUCUCUCAAAUCUAGUCCUUGACGGUAAGAAGUCAGAACAGAAGAGCAAACUAAACGUAAAGCAAACAGACAAGAAAUACUGACUGGGGCGGGAAUAAACAGAAAACAAAAACUGGAGAAAUCCUACAAAACCAAAAGUUGGUUCUUUGAAAAGAUCAGCAAAUGACAAAACUUGAGCUGGAUUGACGGGUGAAAAAGAGGGAAACCUCACUGAACUCAGGGAUGAAAGUGAGAAGAGCACCACCGACUUUACAGAAAUAAAAGUGGUUAUGAGGGAAUAAUAGGGACAGCUGAAUGCCAGAAGAUUAGGUAAUUUUUUAAGUGAAACGGAUAAAUCCCUGGAAAAACAAAAAUACAGAAAUUGAGGAAGAAAUGGAACUACUCUCACUUUGUCCAGGUGUUGCUAAAGGCCUCAGGGACUCCAGACCUUCCAAAGAGGGUGUUCUCUCUCCUUGGUCCCCACCUCUGAUCCUCCCAGUCGUCUCCAGAAGCUUCUUUUAAAGCCCCUAAGUACUCAGGCUUGGCCAGGUGUUGAAGGAAGCCACACUCCCUAGCAAGAUAGGGAGCAUGAUAGCUGUUUUUCCUCUGGUUAUCCAAGAAGCAGAGACACCUCCCUAAAAUGAGUGUCAUUUUUCUGGAAUUAAUACAGUAUAGCCUGUGGUGAAAGUAUUUUCUGCCAACAUGACUUUGAUCCUGAUCCUUAGAAAAGAGCAACACAUUUUCCAUAUUUUUGCCAUGAGGGGCUGCUGGCUCUUCCCAACCGUAGUCUAUAGGAGAAGAGCCACGCGUGGUAUUCACUUAAUUUUACCUACCUUGCAGUGGUGCCAUUUUCAUAGAUUUCUGAUUCCCGAAUCCUGUUCUGAUGAAAGGAGGCGACCCUUGACCCCCUUACCAUCCUCAGAACACCCCAGCUAUCAUGGAAACAUGGUUUUUCAGGCUCUGGGCUAUUGCAAGUUCUCUAGCCCCAAACUUAGCCAAAACAGUCCUAGAAGCCUCAAGAGGUCAAUCUGUGAUGUUCCAAAGAGCCUUCUGGACUCCUGCCAGGUACUGUCCCAAAGAGAUCCUCAGGACUCACUUCUUGGUCCCCCUUGCUCCCUUCUGCGUAGGUCUGCCAGGCCUGAUGCUUUCAGUGGACACACCGUACGACUGUCGCAGUUGUUCCUAGCAGCAUGCCAGCAUUGUGUAUAGAAGAAACCUAGAGCUCCAACACCUCAGCCUUUCUUCUGUAGGCGCACAGUUGGAGGGGCUGAUCACCUAAAUUCAACAACUGGUUUGGGGCAGGGCCGUGUUGGAGCCUCAGAUGGACAUUUGGGUUGUUUUGGAUUCUUAUGAAAAGUGCUGGGUUUCCUGGUGCCCGUGAGCUGGAGCCUGAGGAUGGAGCUGCUGAAUCCCAGGAUGCAGAUGUCGCUCCUGCAGGACUCUCCCGAGGCCCCAGUUUUUCCAGAAGGACUUGGAUCCUCCACAGAGGCAGAGUUGACUGCUGGUCCCUGGAAUGUGAACGGGGUGUCCCCAGGACAAAGCACAGAUGAAGAUGAUUUACUCUCACCGGAGAUAAGAACGGUUCUCUUUCUGUCCUACCGAAUACGCUCACAGCAGUUCUUCCUGAUGGAGCUUCUUCUGUGUGAUUCGCGUGGUUGCAGGGCGCAGUGCGGUGGGCUUUGUCUGGUUCCCACAGGUGCCAGAACUUUUCAUCCCCAGGAAGGAGCCCAGGGCCGGUCACCGUGCCCGCUUCCCAGCAGACUCCCCACCAGGGGAGUGACAGCCACCACAGGGGGGCGUUCCCCCAGCGGGCUCCCCUAAGUAAAUAAUAAUAAUCUAAGUACAUUUAUUAACUAAUGGCAUAAACGCCAUGUGGGGUGCUCAAGCAUCUGAGGUGUGGGAGCAGUGCUGGACUGCAGGAGGCUUCAGUGAAAGUCCCUUAACCACGGUGAGAAUGGGAAAUGCCAUUUUCUCUCAUCUGCUUUGGGAGUCUUCCUCCUGCUGAUCAGCAGGGAAUAAUUCCAGUGCUUCCACUCUUCUCCCAGGCCUCUGAAGCAAGAGGCCUUUGAUUUAUAUUACGCUGUCAGAUAGCUGUGCAGCGGGAGAAGAAGGCCCCUCGGUAAUUUGGAACUUCCUCAUGCUGCUAAUGCAAUCAGGAAGCUGGCCCUUUAUAGAAUUAGAGGGUGCGUGCGUGCUUGGAGUUACUAGCCUGCCACCCUGCGUGCAGUGGGAA